AGCUCUCAUAUUCUAUAUUACUGUCCUAAAUCAAAAUUUGGAUGCGUGUUCUGAAAACUUCUCUGUCAGCCUAACGAUUUCCCUUCAUUUAUCACAUGUGAAGCUGGAGGAGUGGAGUCCCGAGGCGGCGGAUGGUCGACAAGUGACCAAAGUGGAACCAAUGGGAAGAGGGAGCCCAGUGGAGCCAGAGGGAUGAUGGGCCACGGUGGAGAUGAGGGAACUAGGAACCAAGGUGGAUUCUGAGGGUCGUAGGGUGAGGUGGAGUCCAAGAGAUUCAGGAGGAUCAGGGCUGGACAAGACCAGCAAAAACACUGAGGUUUCAGGGUCAGAAGGACACAGCGAA